CGCGCGUCGACAUCGGACGCUAUGGCACACUCGUGCCUUAUGUGCCACCGAAGCCCCGAAGUGGUCUGGCAUAUACCUUCACAUGUUUCCCUUCAGUAGGAAAUUGCUGGACAGGCGGACCAGCGCACCGGAAUUGUACUGGCGAAGCCACAAGCAACUGAAAGAAUCUGUUUAAUUGUUGCACUUUGAACAAUCAUGCUUCUACAAAGGCCACAGCAGAAAAACAGCCUGAUUUCUGUGCCACGAAGUAAUCAAGAGGCGAGUGCGUAAUGCGGACGAAAUCGAGUGCAUCGAGACUUAGAACGACAGAAAGCUGAGCUAGUUGACAAUGCCUACGCCUAGCCACAGCAGCUCCCACAUACAGACUCCGCAAGCCAAGAGGCCGUGGAGGCAAAUGCAGGCAGCCAGCACACCUCGAACAGCCACCUUGACUGCGGGUGUGUCACCCUAGUCGCCAAGGAAACAUUUGAGGGAAAGUGACAGGCAAUGUGAACAGCCACUUUUCCAUGUAAACAAUACUCUUUCUCUCGGAUGACUCCUUUGCCUCGCCACGCCAGCACACUUGUGCACAAAGAUGCUGCAGAGGCACGUGCAGGUCAGAGGCAAGAAGCAGUGGCACUGGUGUCGACAUUUACCCAAUUUCUUUUUCUUACACUGAGGCAGCCAGCACACCUCGAACAGCCACCUUGACUGCGGGUAUGUUAGUAGAUUCCUGUUGUACAUAUGCUCAUAAUAAACGUCAGUAAACUUGAACUUCAUAAUAAACUUGAAGGCAAAUGGGA